UGACCCGUCUUGAAACACGGACCANGGAGUCUAACGUACGNGCGAGUUUUCGAGUUUGAAAACUCUAUCGGCGGUCGUACUUCGGUGCGACCGUCGUCGAAGAAGCGAAAUGAAAGUGAAUUAUCUAGACGGCGUUAAAACCGUCUGGCGCGAUCCCGACGUUGCUUUACGGCUGCGUCGGGCGCAGCGCCGGCCCGUCCACGUCCGCUUAAUUUGACGGCGGGACGGAGUCAGAGCACGGGCGUUGGGACCCGAAAGAUGGUGAACUAUGCUUGGACAGGACGAAGCCGGAGGAAACUCUGGUGGAGGUUCGAAGCGAUUCUGACGUGCAAAUCGAUCGUCAGAUCCGAGUAUANGGGCGAAAGACUAAUCCAACCAUCUAGUAGCUGGUUCCUUCCGA
rnacentral:rRNA from 1 species